CCUACGGGUGGCAGCAGUGGGGAAUAUUGCACAAUGGGGGAAACCCUGAUGCAGCGACGCCGCGUGAGUGAAGAAGUAAUUCGUUACGUAAAGCUCUAUCAGCAGGGAAGAAAUACUGACCUUACGGUCAGCAGACGGUACCUGAGUAAGAAGCACCGGCUAACUACGUGCCAGCAGCCGCGGUAAUACGUAGGGGGCAAGCGUUAUCCGGAUUUACUGGGUGUAAAGGGAGGGUAGACGGUGCGCCAAGUCGGGAGUGAAAUGCCGCAGCUUAACUGCGGAACUGCUUUUGAAACUGGCGAACUAGAGUGCGGGAGGGGUGAGCAGAAUUCCUAGUGUAGCGGUGAAAUGCGUAGAGAUUAGGAGGAACACCGGUGGCGAAGGCGGCUUACUGGACCAUGACUGACGUUGAGGCUCGAAAGCGUGGGGAGCAAACAGGAUUAGAUACCCUAGUAGUC
rnacentral:rRNA from 1 species